rnacentral:lncRNA from 1 species
GACAUAGUUUAGAUAGUUUACCUGGUUCAGUAUUUUUAUUACAUUUGAAUAUGUGGAUUUUCAUGAAUGUAAUAAAAGGUUUUCUACCCCUCGUGGUAGCGUGUUUAAAGAAUAAAGGUUUUCGUGUAGGAAACAGUUUUCAAAAGGAUUUUUUCAUGGAUUUCUGUUUAAACAUUGAAUGUAAAACUGUAAUGUGAAUGGUGAAUGAAUGAUUGCAUAGUCGUUUACAUAUUCAUUUGGUUGUGGUUGUACCUAGGUUACUUAUUGUACUUGUGCGACGCCGUGCAAAUAUAGGGGAGACUCUGUUCGUGUGAACAGUGGAUUCCAUAUAUUUGUGGCGGAUCUGGCAUUCCCCGGGGUUAAGUU